GACGAACGCUGGCGGCGUGCUUAACACAUGCAAGUCGAACGGAUCACCUUUGCUUCGGUUUUGGUGGUUAGUGGCGAACGGGUGAGUAACACGUGAGCAACCUGCCCAUAGAGGGGAAUAGCCUUCCGAAAGGAAGAUUAAUACCGCAUAACAUUGUUGAAAGGCAUCUUUUAACAAUCAGAGGAGCAAUCCGCUAUGAGAUGGGCCCGCGGCGCAUUAGCUAGUUGGUGAGGUAACGGCUCACCAAGGCGACGAUGCGUAGCCGACCUGAGAGGGUGAUCGGCCACAUUGGAACUGAGACACGGUCCAGACUCCUACGGGAGGCAGCAGUGGGGAAUAUUGCACAAUGGGGGAAACCCUGAUGCAGCAACGCCGCGUGAGUGAUGAAGGUCUUCGGAUUGUAAAGCUCUGUCUUUAGGGACGAUAAUGACGGUACCUAAGGAGGAAGCCACGGCUAACUACGUGCCAGCAGCCGCAGUAA
rnacentral:rRNA from 1 species